UGGUCCCUAGGAGAAAACAAGCCCGCCCAUCUUACCCUCCUGUCCUGUACUAGAAGGACCCUUGGCGGGAAACCUGGGAGAAGGGGAGGAGCUGGAAUCCGGCUCUCUUAGCCCUCCCACCUCAGAGCCCCUUCAUCUGGUCGCGUCCGGAUUGCAGCCCGGCAGCUCCGGGUCUUCAGGAUCAGGUGGAGGCUGCACAUUGGCUUCGGGGUCUCCCUGUUCCCACUGAGCUGGGCCCGGGAAGAGGCCUCUGGGAUUGAACCAAGCCCUCACUUGGGGCUCGCGCCCACUCUGUCAUUUCACACAGAUUCCUCGUGGAGUCCGCACCAACCAGCUCCUCCCUCCUUGCCAAGCUGGGAUUCCUCUGCCAGGAAGCCGGCCUCACCUCUCUCCCUCUUUGUUGCGCACGCUGCGUUAGGCAGGGCAAACUUAAAGGCCUUAAUGAAUGGAACAGUGGGCACCAGAGAACACCAGCUCCUCAAAUAAAAGAGUUGCAAGCCAGAACCCAGGAAAGCAGUGCUUCUCUCCUAAAGAAUAUAUACAUAAUGGAAAAAGGUGCCUUUGAUGAGGGACACUAUCCUUGAGGACAACAGUACAGUAUGUACAUUAAUACGUUUCCUAAGACCAUCUCUGACUCUGUAUCUCAGCGUUAGCUGGACUGAACAUUUCUGCAGCAGGAGUGGGUGGGCAGGCAACGUAAGUCAAAUGAGCAGCUUGGAGGCUCAAAUGAGACGAGGAGAAAGACCUCAGGAAACCAUAAAGCACAGUUGGAAUGCAGACAUGGAGCUGAUGAGUCUGUUCUGAUUCACCCAAGGACAGCACCCUAGGGAUGGCUGAAUAACAAGAUGGAGGGAAACCAAGUUCCUGAGGACCUUGUGGAGUUCAAUCUGCCCCGGACCGUCUGAUUACCUCUGUACUAUUAGAAAAGCGAAAAAUAAACUUCUA